rnacentral:rRNA from 1 species
AGAGUUUGAUCAUGGCUCAGGACGAACGCUGGCGGCGUGCUUAAUACAUGCAAGUCGAGCGAGGCCUUGGAAUUGGAGUCCUUCGGGAUGAAGAGUCCUUGGCCUAGCGGCGGACGGGUGAGUAACGCGUGGGCAACCUACCCCAAAGUCCGGGAUAACAGUGGGAAACCGCUGCUAAUACCGGAUGGCUUUACCUGAGGGCAUCCUUGGGUAAAGAAAGGUUACGCUUUGGGAUGGGCCCGCGUCCCAUUAGCUAGUUGGUGAGGUAACGGCUCACCAAGGCGACGAUGGGUAGCCGGCCUGAGAGGGUGAACGGCCACACUGGGACUGAGACACGGCCCAGACUCCUACGGGAGGCAGCAGUAGGGAAUAUUGCGCAAUGGGGGGAACCCUGACGCAGCGACGCCGCGUGGGUGAUGAAGGCCUUCGGGUCGUAAAGCCCUGUCUGGGGGGAAGAUAGUGACGGUACCCCCGGAGGAAGCCCCGGCUAACUACGUGCCAGCAGCCGCGGUAAGACGUGGGGGGCAAGCGUUGUCCGGAAUUACUGGGCGUAAAGGGCGUGUAGGCGGCCUGCCAAGUCAGCUGUGAAAUUCCCCGGCUCAACCGGGGGACUGCAGUUGAAACUGGCGGGCUUGAGUGCAGGAGAGGAGGGUGGAAUUCCUGGUGUAGCGGUGAAAUGCGUAGAUAUCAGGAGGAACACCGGUGGCGAAGGCGACCUUCUGGCCUGUUACUGACGCUGAG